CCAAUGGAGUUCACGCAGAACAGGCGUUAUAUGGUCGUAUCUGGAUGUUCUGGUUACGAUUCUAGCUGCCGUGUUUUGGACAUAUUGCAGUUUGUUCAUUGACCGUUUUGGAAACUUUUAGCAAAAUUUUGGAGCUGAAACAAGAGAAGGAAAGACUGAGCAGUACAGAUCUCUGGCAGUCAAGACGCACCAGGUUCAAGUUUUAUAGAGACUGUACCAUCAAGUUUAGAAAACAUGAAAUUCCUCCAGGGAAAAUUGAUGACUUCUGCAAGCUAACCAAUGGUAAUCAUGUGACGCUUGUUGAGACUGCGUGUUCAUUCAACAGACUGUUGGUAAAGGACCAAAAUAACAAGAACACAAAACAAGGAAAGAAGGCUUGAGAGCAGAUACUUUCAUUAUUUUCAUGCAUGGAAACUGAAAUGAUGAUGUUCCUUGUGUAGAGAUCAAGACACUUUGUUCCCAAGGUGAUGUGAAAUGGUGCCAAGUUCUGUGUAUGUCUUCUGCCUUCACUCUACUAAACCACUACUGCAUGGAUCUUCAGUAUCUUCAGUUAGUACUGGAACUGUGAUGACACUGAGGAAAUAUUCUACAAUCUUCACCAUGGUUACCAUUGAAUAGGGUUUCUCGCAUAGCAAUUGCUGUAUAGUGUAAUGCCAGCAUGUAUGUUUUUCUAAGAAAGGGACAUGGUGUGUCAAGGCAGAAGCUGUGCAUUUGGACAGGAUGAGAGUGGUUGUUUUCCAAUGGCUGUAAGCAUGAAAUCACCUGGCCUUGUGUGGAAGACAUCUAUGAAUCGACCAACCAGAUGUUUA
rnacentral:lncRNA from 1 species